rnacentral:lncRNA from 1 species
GCAUUGAGAAAGGCCUGUGUAAGAACCUCCUUCCAGUAGUCUAUGAGUUCCAAACAUGCCAUGUUUACUCCUAGAUCUGUGUCAAGACUUGUGUUUCAGAAAUUCUUCCAUGUCAUGCAACAUGCCUGGCGAGUCCCUUGAAACUCAAGAUCCACUCCCCCUCCAUUUUCCUGCAGAAAGGAACGGGUAUUCAACAGAGAACAACCAAGGAAGACAAAACAAAAUAGACUAAGACAAAGCAAAAGCCCUCAUAUUGAGGCUAGGCAAGGCAAGGCAACCAAAUAGCAGGCAAGAGUCAGAGAGGCACCUGUUUCCAUUGUUAGAAGUCCAACAAAAACACCACACUUAACAUAUGAGCAUAGGACCUGGUGCAGACCCUUGCAGGUCCCAUGCUUGCCACAGUUCCUGUGAGCCUAUUGAACCCUGCUUAGAUGAUUCAGUGUGGGUAGGCCAUGCUCCCCUGCUGUCCUCCACCCUGUCUAACUACUAUAAUCUUUCCUUUCCCUUUUCUGUGGUCCCCAAGCUUCAGGGGAAGGAACUUGAUGGAGAGCUCCAAUUUAGACAUUCUCUGCAUAAUGUCUAGCUGUGGAUUCUGCACCCACUCUGGCGUGCUGCCAAGAGGAGUGGAAGCCUUUCUGAUGAUGACUGGACAAAGAUUAAUCUAUGAGUGUAUCAGAAC